CCCGUUGUACACACCGCCCGUCACACCAUGGGAGUUGGCUUUACCUGAAGACGGUGUGCUAACCGCAAGGAGGCAGCCGGCCACGGUAAGGUCAGCGACCGGGGUG
rnacentral:rRNA from 1 species